AAGACCUUACUUCAUAGGAUCAUUUCUAUAGUAAGCUCUUCACCAGGCAAUCACAAUACGUGAGCCAACCCCAUCCACGAAGAUGAGUCGUGGCGCGGUGCCUGUCUGGUCAUCAGCCGCCGAUGAUCGUUCACCUCCUCUCCGGGGAGGCGUGGGGUACUGUCGCUGUCUGAGUGGC